AUAUUUUAUAAUUUUUUUAAUAAAAUUCAGAUUCUGAAUUUAUCAAGUGAUGCCCAAGACCGGUCCUGUUUCAUACCCACAACGCCCGAGUGUGGUCCAUAUCCGGACCGAACAGGUAUUUUUACCACCCCUACUCACAAGCCCAAAAAAGCAACAAUCUUUCUCUUUUUUUUUCUUUUUUUUGAGAAGAACCUUCCUAUUACCACAUGCAAAUCUAAUUAUAUCUUCUUUUCUGUCUGUCACAUGAGAACAAAGAAUUUUUGCCUUGAUUUGUGGAAACUACUCCCCUCUCCCUUCAAUUUAAGUCAUAAUUGCUGCCGAAAAUCAUAAAAAAACUCUGCAUAUUCGGAAACAUGUAUUUUGGAUGAGGUGAAGAUAGAUUCUGUAAGAAAUUCAGCUUCGUGUUCAGAGGAUGUGGUAUUGCCGCCCUCUAAUAUUCUCACCACUUCGUUUUACAAUCCUAUAUGGUAUAUAGAUUAUAUCAAUUCUAGUAGGAUUUGGAUUUGGAAGAGGUAAUAUGCAAGCUUUUCAUGGUUUCAAGUUUUAACUGUUCUUUACUUCUUUCGCCACUAGCAAUGGCAGAUAUAGAAAAAUAAUUUAAUACGAGAGCUAAAUUACAUAACGAUAAGAUGUAAAA
rnacentral:lncRNA from 1 species